GCUCAACCGAGGAAGUGCUUCGAAAACUGGUAAACUUGAGUGCAGAAGAGGAAAGUGGAACUCCAUGUGUAGCGGUGGAAUGCGUAGAUAUAUGGAAGAACACCAGUGGCGAAGGCGGCUUUCUGGUCUGUAACUGACGCUGAGAUUCGAAAGCAUGGGUAGCAAACAGGAUUAGAUACCCUGGUAGUCCAUGCCGUAAACGAUGAGUGCUAAGUGUUGGAGGGUUUCCGCCCUUCAGUGCUGCAGCUAACGCAUUAAGCACUCCGCCUGGGGAGUACGACCGCAAGGUUGAAACUCAAAGGAAUUGACGGGGGCCCGCACAAGCGGUGGAGCAUGUGGUUUAAUUCGAAGCAACGCGAAGAACCUUACCAGGUCUUGACAUACCAUGAAAAGCUAAGAGAUUAGUCUUUCCCUUCGGGGACAUGGAUACAGGUGGUGCAUGGUUGUCGUCAGCUCGUGUCGUGAGAUGUUGGGUUAAGUCCCGCAACGAGCGCAACCCUUAUUAUCAGUUGCCAGCAUUCAGUUGGGCACUCUGGUGAGACUGCCGGUGACAAACCGGAGGAAGGUGGGGACGACGUCAAAUCAUCAUGCCCCUUAUGACCUGCGCUACACACGUGCUACAAUGGUCGGUACAACG
rnacentral:rRNA from 1 species